GUACAUGGCGUCUCCCCAGUGAUAUAUACACAGCGUCACAGCUCAGUGAAAGUGUCUGGAGUCUCCCCAGUGAUAAUAUCACAGCGUCACAGCUCAGUGAAGUGUCAUGGAGUCUCCCCAGUGAUAAUAUCCCAGCGUCACAGUCCAGUGAAGUGUCAUGGAGUCUCCCCAGUGAUAUAUCCCAGCGUCACGCUCAGUGAAGUGUCAUGGAGCUCCCGUGAUAUAUCCCAGCGUCACAGUCACGUGAAGUGUCAUGGAGUCUCCCCAGUGAUAAUAUCCCGCGUCACAGUCAGUGAAGUGUCAUGGAGUCUCCCCAGUGAUAAUAUCCCGUGUCACGUCCGUG
rnacentral:lncRNA from 1 species